GACGAACGCUGGCGGCGUGCUUAACACAUGCAAGUCGAACGGAGUGGCGAACGGGCGAGUAACACGUGGGUGAUCUGCCUUGCACUUCGGGAUAAGGUUGGGAAACUGGGUCUAAUACCUGAUAGUGCAGGAUGAGCUGGCGGCCUAUUAGCUUGUUGGUGGGGUAAUGGCCUCACAAGGCGUCGACGGGUAGCCGGCCUGAGAGGGUGUACGGCCACAGUGGGACUGCGAUAGGGCACAGACUCCUACGGGAGGGAGCAGUGGGGAAGAUUGCACAAGGGGGGGAAGUCUGAUGCAGGGACGCCGGGUGGGGGGUGAUGGACUUCGGGUUGUAAACUCCUUUCGACAGGGACGCGGUACCUGUAUAAGAAGCACCGGCUAACUACGUGCCAGCAGCCGCGGUAAUUC
rnacentral:rRNA from 1 species